rnacentral:rRNA from 1 species
AGUCGAGUUGUUUGGGAAUGCAGCUCAAAAUGGGUGGUAUAUUUCAUCUAAAGCUAAAUACCGGCCAGAGACCGAUAGCGCACAAGUAGAGUGAUCGAAAGAUGAAAAGCACUUUGGAAAGAGAGUCAAAAAGUACGUGAAAUUGUUGAAAGGGAAGCGCUCGCAACCAGACCUGCCCGCGGCCGAUCAACCGUUCUUCUGGGCGGUGCACUCGGUCGUGAUCAGGCCAGCAUCGGUUCGGGCGGCCGGAUAAAGGCCCCGGGAACGUAGCUCCUUCCGGGGAGUGUUAUAGCCCGGGGUGCAAUGCGGCCAGCCUGGACCGAGGACCGCGCUUCGGCUAGGAUGCUGGCGUAAUGGUUGUGAGCGGCCCGUCUUGAAACACGGACCAAGGAGUCUAACAUCUAUGCGAGUGUUUGGGUGUCAAACCCAUGCGCGUAAUGAAAGUGAACGGA